GGCCGAUGAUUUGUACAAUAUUUGCUACUCUUGAUAGAAAUUGAAAUAUAUUUCUAUAUGAUGAUAUUUUUCCACCAAGAUCUAUGAGGCC